UAUUCUUAAACCUCUAUCAGGUCCUGAUCUUCUAGACGCGACUACAGUGAAAAAUGAUCUCCCUCUGGCGGGGGAUGCUAACCGAUAUCAAGCGCUAGAUGAGGAUGAGGAAGAGGAAGUGGAGGAGACUAUCAUUGCGGACUCCAAUUAUGAAGCAGAGCCUUUACAUGAGGAAGAAAAUGAUGGGUUGCCUCACACGGACAAGGCUAGUGAUAAGGAGGGCUCGAAUGUAGAGGAAACUUUGGAGUUGGAUUCUGGAACGAAUAGUGGAGCGAUGAUAGAGCAACAACCGGUAGUUGGGGCAGAAGAUUCAGCG
rnacentral:lncRNA from 1 species